rnacentral:rRNA from 1 species
GAUGGAGGGGGAUAACUACUGGAAACGGUAGCUAAUACCGCAUAACGUCGCAAGACCAAAGAGGGGGACCUUCGGGCCUCUUGCCAUCGGAUGUGCCCAGAUGGGAUUAGCUAGUAGGUGGGGUAACGGCUCACCUAGGCGACGAUCCCUAGCUGGUCUGAGAGGAUGACCAGCCACACUGGAACUGAGACACGGUCCAGACUCCUACGGGAGGCAGCAGUGGGGAAUAUUGCACAAUGGGCGCAAGCCUGAUGCAGCCAUGCCGCGUGUAUGAAGAAGGCCUUCGGGUUGUAAAGUACUUUCAGCGGGGAGGAAGGCGAUAAGGUUAAUAACCUUGUCGAUUGACGUUACCCGCAGAAGAAGCACCGGCUAACUCCGUGCCAGCAGCCGCGGUAAUACGGAGGGUGCAAGCGUUAAUCGGAAUUACUGGGCGUAAAGCGCACGCAGGCGGUCUGUCAAGUCGGAUGUGAAAUCCCCGGGCUCAACCUGGGAACUGCAUUCGAAACUGGCAGGCUAGAGUCUUGUAGAGGGGGGUAGAAUUCCAGGUGUAGCGGUGAAAUGCGUAUAGAUCUGGAGGAAUACCGGUGGCGAAGGCGGCCCCCUGGACAAAGACUGACGCUCAGGUGCGAAAGCGU